GUGAGGGCCGCUAAAGCUCGCUCCCUCUCCGCCUCCAACUCGGAACCAACAGGAGUCGGAUCGCUCGACCCCGACGGAAAUAUCUCCGCCGCGACUCCCGGCCGUUCUCGACGAGCCGCAGCUGGUGCAGCCACCAGCCGAUCCACCGUUUCUUGGAGUCUUUUCAUUUGUUCCUCCUGGCGCAUUGCAGCUUCCUGCUGACGCUGCACCACAUCAGCCUGUUGCCUCACCACCCUCACGAGUGUGGCCAGCUGUUCACGAAGCUCUGAGUCUCCGCUCGCAUCGAUUUGCUUGGGAACACCACUUGUCCCCUCCCGCGCCGAUCUGGACGAAGAUCGCCUACGCGGUGCCAUCGUUUUCUGAAACACGACAACUCGAUUAGUUCUCGACCAACUUGGGUCGAACACGAGACUACCAACACCGGCUCAAAAGCCAAUCAGGCGAAAGUCACACAAGGGUGUCUAUUCUCAUCACUCGGUUUCAUAUUGUGUGCACCCAACAUGAACACCCUCGAUUGAGAAUAAACAUUACCUUGGAUCUACCUCUAAUAUCUGUUUUAGAGGUUUCGACACAACCCAAUCCAUUAACCUUUCGCCACAAUCACAAGUCCUCGUCUCUCACGAGCCUUAUUCUCUUAUGGUUUUACUAUCCUAGGGUCUCCUAGGUCAUCUAAACCAUUUUCCCAUUCUCUACUUUAUGCUCUGAUACCAUCUUCUGUCACAGCCCGCGACCACUCGCCUAUUUGGCCGAGGUCGCGGCGCCGACAGCGCCGAACGGACAAGGUUUCCCCUGUACUGCGGACAGAGUCUCCCCUGUACGUUCAAGGCAUCGCAAUCAAUACAAUACGAAUGUUCCAACCAGGAACUGAUAUCAAUCAAGAUUGCAUAAUGGAAGGUAUCAAACAACAUAAACACAUCCUAUGUUAUUACACGCAUUCACAUUCACAGAUUUUUACAUCACAGUUCUUUAUACAUUCUCUUUUUUUUUUAUCCAAAUGCAAUCUAGUUAUUACAAAUUUAUUUACAAAUUGAUACAUUGUUUCUUUUCAUUUUCUAUACCCCUAGCCACGUCGACGGGGUACUGCUAGCUCUGGUCUCUGGGUAGGGCGCUAUCUAUGGAGCUACGCCCUUUCCUCGCGCCGCCGCGCCGCUCACGUGCGAACCUGUACCCCCAAAAGCAACACGGGGGUGAGAACUAUAUAAAUAUAGUUCCCAGUGGGUACGGCCACCCAAGGGAAAAGCUCGACCAAAAGGUCCAAGGAGGCACUGCAAUCAUGUUAGUCCAAAAACAUCUAUAGAUAUAUAUCAAAAUGUUAAUAUGCAACUAACAGAUAACAUGCCUCACGAAAUGCAAUAUGCAACUAUCAAAAAGCUCUUUGCUUGUCUUUACAUUUUAGCUAUUUGCUACCAUUCAUUUCCUGCAAUUACUAGCUAUUCCUUAGCAUUAGCCUUUUCAUUAUCUUUCAUUUUCUUUUUCUUUCUUUGCUCUUUAUUCUUUGUACUUGUACUUGGUGCUCUACACCUUACACUUGGGCCCACUAUACUCAUUGGCAAAUUCUUUCUUAAGGUUGCUCUUACCUUAAUCACACUAUGCCACCCGACUCGGUCUUGAGUCAAUCAUCUGCGGAUAGUCCGCGCUCUGUCCGGCUCAAGGUGAAGGACCUCUCACUUACACCUUAGCCUUCAAUCCAUAAUCAAGUCGCCCAACGGGUCGCCCAGAGCUGCGUACACCCGUGGUCAGGGAUCUUUCCGGUGGGAAGGGGAUUAUGCCACAAACUCAACCCGCGGCCCAAGACCCCCGAUAGGGAAGGGGAACAUGCCACACUCAACCCUAGCGAAGCACGAUUCUGCCGGCGGGAGGGGGAACCUGCCACACUCGACCCGCGGCCUCGAUUCAGUCAACAGCUCAUCCUCGAAGUUCGUCCAGUGGGAGGGGAACCUGUCACACUCAACCCACUGCUCUAGAACUGUCGAGUUCACAAUCCUAAGAUUCCGGAAUCUAUUUCCCAAGCCUCUAGGGUAAUCUCAAACCCUAUGAUAUCGACCUAUCUAGGUCCAAUGCACUUUCCAUCCUAGGUCUACCCGACUCUAGGUUUAACGCCCUUAUUACAUAACCAAUGUUCUUUAAACUAGGUUAAUACCUCUCUACCUAGGUUUUUAUUAACCCUAGGUUCAACAACACUAGAAUCAAUGUCAACCUAUGUUCAUAACGCUAGGUUAAUGCCACUCGAUCUAGCCUAGGUUCACGACACUAGGUUCAACAUCAAUCUUAUUCAUCCUAGGUUCUCAAUCCUAGGUUCAUAUUCGACCUAUGUUAAUUACACUAGGUUCGAUAUCAUUCCUGUUUAACCUAUGUUUACUAACACUAGGUUCAAUGCUACUCGAUCUAUAGGUGCAUUUAAGUCCAUAUACACAAGUCCUUUACUUGGCAUUCUUUAACAUGCAACAUGCAUUCAUACAUUAUCUUUUGCAUUCUUACAUUAACCUUUCUAUGCAUGCAUCACGGCCACCACGUAUUAUAUACUUUAUGCUUGUCACUUAGCAUGAUUUACACUAUGUCACUAUGCAUUACUUAGCAUUCUUAACAUGUACUUGUAUUUACUAUUUCCAUAUCAUGCUUAUCAUUAUACUUUAGCAUUCUUAUCUCAUGCAUUCUACUUGGCGUUUGUAUCAUGUUAUCAACAUCAUGCUUUCUACUUAGCAUCUUGCUCUAAGCACUAUCGUUAACAUGCAUCAUUUAUAUUAUUUACCAACAUGCAUUUUAUAAUCUCUAUAUCAUUUACAUGCAUCAACUUAGCAUUUAUACUUUAUUUCGCAUGCUCUCUAGCAUUUAUCAACAUGCAUUUAUCAGCUUGCAUUCAUUAUCAUUCAUUUCUAUAUGCAUCAUAAGAAAUCAUAUUUUCUUAGACAUAAAGGCGACCUAGUCGCUUCGGUAAACCAACCCACCUCGAUUCGCGUUCCGAUUGCUUGUCGACACUUGCAAUCGGCCUCCCGCGGCACCCGUAUCCGGCACGGCCCGAUACUGCAACUGCGCCUCAACCGUGCUCCGCUUCGCAGCCCCGAAAAUUAUAGGUCUUCGGUUAUGUGCCACGAUACCUCAAAUCCAUUUCCAUGAUUUUACGACGUCGCCUCGGCCCUCCCGGCGGACCCGAAGCCUAAACGUUUAUUUCUUUAAUAAUUUUGUAACGGCUCGUCGGAUUGCCGAACCGUCUUUGCCAACGCGUUUCGUUACCUAGCAAUUAGGUUUACGAAGGGUCAAAUGAGAUUAAACCCGCAUAUUUUGAAAGUUUGCAUUUUGGAGCCCUAGGUUACAACUAUGCAAGAAAUCACUAAAUUGAUCCAUGAUUCAAGCAUUAAUUAUCUAGAUAGCAUGCUAGGACUCCUCUAAAUCCAUUUAUAAGGUAUUUAAAUCAAGCAUUAAAGAUCUACCAUUAAAGGGCUCAAGAAGCUCACCUCAAAAUGAGCUCCAAACCAUGGAGAAGAUGAAAAAGACGAAGACGAUCCACCUCCAAGCUUCAAUCUCCACCAAAUCCAUUCUUUUUGGGAGAGAUUUAGAGAGAGAAAGAGAGGCUUCUCUCUUCCCUUCCAUGCGCGUG
rnacentral:lncRNA from 1 species